UACGUAGGGUGCGAGCGUUAAUCGGAAUUACUGGGCGUAAAGCGUGCGCAGGCGGUUCGUUAAGUCUGAUGUGAAAGCCCCGGGCUCAACCUGGGAACUGCACUUGUGACUGCAUGACUAGAGUGCGUCAGAGGGAGGUGGAAUUCCGCGUGUAGCAGUGAAAUGCGUAGAGAUGCGGAGGAACACCGAUGGCGAAGGCAGCCUCCUGGGAUGACACUGACGCUCAUGCACGAAAGCGUGGGGAGCAAAC
rnacentral:rRNA from 1 species